rnacentral:misc_RNA from 1 species
GAUGAAGAACGUAGCGAAAUGCGAUAAGUAAUGCGAAUUGCAGAAUUCCAGUGAGUCAUCGAAUCUUUGAACGCACAUUGCGCCCUUUGGUAUUCCGAAGGGCAUGCCUGUUCGAGCGUCAUUAUCACCCCUCAAGCCCUCGGCUUGGUGUUGGACGGUUUGGUGGAGGCCCCCUCGGGGGCUCCUGCCCCUCCCAAAGACAAUGACGGCGGCCUCGUUGGACCCCCGGUGCACUGAGUUCUUCACGGGACACGUAUCGGACACAUGGGUUUACGGGACACGGUCUGCCUCCCCUCAGGGAGAAUCUUUCUAAGGUUGACCUCGGAUCAGGUAGGGAUACCCGCUGAACUUAAGCAUAUCAAUAAGCGGAGGA